rnacentral:rRNA from 1 species
UUUCCGCCAGAGAACUACAAGUGAAAAACUUGAAACUCAAAGGACUUGACGGUGUCCCAUACCGACCUAGAGGAGCCUGUCCUAUAAUCGAUACUCCCCGCUCCACCCAACCCCAACUAGCAUUCCUCAGCCUAUAUACCGCCGUCGAUCAGCCUACCCUAUGAAAGUCUAAUAGUAGACACAAUAGCCCUAUCGCUAAUACGUCAGGUCAAGGUGUAGCAAAUGUUGUGGAAGAGAUUGGCUACAUUUUUUAUUAUAAAAAAUACGAAAAAUACUAUGAAACAGUAUAUGAAGGUGAAUUUAGUAGUAAAAUAAACAAGAGUGUUUAUUUUAACAACGCUCUGGGACGCGUACACACCGCCC